GACAAAAACCAAACAACAAGAGUUUAAUCAAACAAAACCGUGAGUUCUUCCUGAAGGACAGAAACCAAAUCCUGUUCUUAGAGGUCUAGAUGUUCAUAGAGGUCUUGGUGUUCAUAGAGGUCUACAUGUUCAUAGAGGUAUAGAUGUUCAUAGAGGUCUAGGUGUUCAUAGAGGUCUAGAUGUUCAUAGAGGUCUAGGUUUUGAUAAGAGGUCUAGAUGUUCAUAGAGGUCUAGGUGUUCACAGAGGUCUAGGUGUUCACAGAGGUCUAGAUGUUCAUAGAGGUCUAGAUGUUCACAGAGGUCUAGGUGUUCACAGAGGUCUAGGUGUUCAUAGAGGUCUAGGUGUUCAUAGAGGUCUAGAUGUUCAUAGAGGUCUAGGUGUUCAUAGAGGUCUAGGUGUUCACAGAGGUCUAGGUGUUCAUAGAGGUCUAGAUGUUCACAGAGGUCUAGGUGUUCAUAGAGGUCUAGGUGUUCACAGAGGUCUAGGUGUUGAUAAGAGGUCUAGAUGUUCACAGAGGUCUAGAUGUUCACAGAGGUCUAGGUGUUCAUAGAGGUCUAGAUGUUCACAGAGGUCUAGAUGUUCACAGAGGUCUAGGUGUUCACAGAGGUCUAGGUGUUGAUAAGAGGUCUAGAUGUUCACAGAGGUCUAGAUGUUCACAGAGGUCUAGGUGUUCACAGAGGUCUAGGUGUUCACAGAGGUCUCGGUGUUCAUAGAGGUCUUGGUGUUCAUAGAGGUCUAGGUGUUCAUAGAGGUCUAGAUGUUCAUUGAGUUCUAGAUGUUCAUAGAAGUCUCGAUGUUCAUAGAGGUCUAGGUGUUCAUAGAGGUCUAGGUGUUCAUAGAGGUCUUGGUGUUCAUAGAGGUCUAGAUGUUCAUUGA